rnacentral:rRNA from 1 species
GAUGAACGCUGGCGGCGUGCCUAAUACAUGCAAGUCGAGCGAACAGACGAGGAGCUUGCUCCUCUGACGUUAGCGGCGGACGGGUGAGUAACACGUGGAUAACCUACCUAUAAGACUGGGAUAACUUCGGGAAACCGGAGCUAAUACCGGAUAAUAUAUUGAACCGCAUGGUUCAAUAGUGAAAGACGGUUUUGCUGUCACUUAUAGAUGGACCCGCGCCGCAUUAGCUAGUUGGUAAGGUAACGGCUUACCAAGGCAACGAUGCGUAGCCGACCUGAGAGGGUGAUCGGCCACACUGGAGCUGAGACACGCUCCAGACUCCUACGGGAGGCAGGAGUAGGGAAUCUUGCGCAAUGGGCGAAAGCUUGACGGAGCAACGCCGCGUGAGUGAUGAAGGUCUUCGGAUCGUAAAACUCUGUUAUUAGGGAAGAACAAAUGUGUAAGUAACUAUGCACGUCUGGACGGUACCUAAGCAGAAAGCCACGGCUAACUACGU